rnacentral:lncRNA from 1 species
CCAGACGAAGGUGAUCGAGGAGUACCGCUACCUGUCCCAGAAGCUCUUCGUCUCGGUGGCCGUCUUCGCCGGGCUGGGCAUCCUGCUGGGCAUCAUCUGCCUGACCUUCAACAUCUACAACAGCAACGUCAGGUUGGUGCCGUCGGGGCGUCUGGGGGGGUCCUCCGGGUGACCCGAACGCCAGGGCCCCCGAAACGCCUCGUGGCGAAAACGGCGCAGGGGGGGCGGCCUGUGUCGUUCGGUGUGAUCAGUGAGCGCCCCCGGGCGAUCACUCCUGUGCCAGAGAGCGAGCCCCUCGUUGUGCCAGCCCCCUGGGGGAGAUCCUGGGGGUGCCGAGUCACGGUUUUCACAGUGUCGUCUCCCCGGGUGUGUGACAGUGUGUUCACGCCUCUCUCCCUCUCCCCUCUCUCCUCUCUCUCUCCUGUCUCUCUCUCUCCUCUCUCUCCUGUAAUUCAGUUCAAUUCAAGGUGCUUUAUUAGCAUGACCGAUGGGUACAAUCAGUGUUGCCUAAGCAAAUAAAAAUAAUAAAAUUAACAUGGAACAAAACAAAAAAUAGAAG